GUUGCGGGAGCUUGUAACCCGAGUGGGGGCAUUAAAGUGGUUCGGAUGUUGGGUCACGCUCCCGAGUCUGGGUUCAAGUGGUGCGAAUGGUUGGCUAGCCCGUUCCAAGUGGAGUAGCGAGAUAUGCGCCUUGAGCGAAAGCUUGGGUCGCGCAUCUCCUGAAGAGGAGGGAACAGCGUUAGGCUGGUUUCACAGAGCAGCGAACACCUCCCGCUCUCAACAGUGGAAGGACAACUAGCCGCCGCCCCUGAGGCCCUCCGCGGCUCGCGGGCAGACCAAUAGCGGACAACCACUUUUUUUUUUUCUAAUUUUUUUUUGUGGGUAAAUUAUCUCUAUUCUCACUUUUAAUGAAUUCAUAUUUGACUAUUAGUUAUUAUAUUUUUUAGGUAUAAAAGAAUUGCUAACCAAGUUGCAAGAUUCAUCCGAGACAUAAUUUCAAGCUAGAUAUGAACAUUUUGAUUUGGGUCACACUUGGAUGAGUCUUUGGCUUUAACAGUUUUUAUUGGCCGGGCCAAAGCUUGUCCAAUCGAGUUAGCCCGAGUCCAAAAUCAUGACCCAAAAGGUAAGCAAGAUGGGUCCGGCUUAGUGUCAGCCCUACCCAUUUGCAGAUAUAGGCAUUCAGCAGUAGUCUAUAUAUUCAAUGUGUCAUCUGCUAGCGUGACAUCCAAUUCCAAAUUCAACAAGGACAUAGGUAUAUAUUAUCGUCAUCUAGUAAUACAUAAAUGUCAACAAAUUAUGAGGCUAUAACUAUAGUCAUGCUUUUUUUUGCUCCACCAUAAUGAAGGAUAGCAAGCUUCCCAUCCCAGUGAUUCCAAGCACCACUUUUGUACCUUGUCCUGAGGGUAAUUAGCACACACACCCCCUAUCCUGCUCCUGUCCUACCUAUCAAAGACCAAGCCACUAAGUCCCACCAAUCCAUCACAAUCCUCUGAUUAACCAUCAGAUGUCUCCCAUCAUGUUAUGUUAGCUGCAUAGCAUUGAUUGAUGCUACUUAACCAGUGUAGCUUAAGGGUCUAAUUGUACAAUUCCUGCUCCAUAUCAGAACUAAUUCUAGGGCACCACAAUCCGAGUCUGCCAAUCAGACAUCUUAUUCACAUGAUAACAGUUCUGAAAGUCUUUCUGAACGAGCUUAAUCACACUCGAGGUCUUCUUGUUGCCCACAAGAAUAUGAGCUUAGUUUCUGUGUUUUUAUUGUUUUGUUCAGUUAUUACUAAAUUUCAUCAGAAUCUGUCAGAACUGGAUCUGUCUAUAGGUGGACACAACGAAACUUAUUUUCCUAAUCUCCGAUGUUCUAAUUCUACAAACCACAAACCUCCCAGACUGCCAUCUAGGAUCAGAAAUCCAAAGUCUUGAGCUUCCUAGAAAUCCUUGAUUUGAUAAUAGGGCUAAUCUCCUCGAUUCUGACAUCUAGAAUUCUCAUCACUUGUUGCAAAUAUUCCAUGUCCUUUUAUGCAAACCUUUUACCACUUAAAUUUCAUGAAAAGUUCCGAUGCAGUAUAGGUGGGAUAAGGCUUGCAGGUUGGAAACUUUCAUCCAGAUUAACCAUUAGAAAGAAAAACUAAUUUGCAUUAGUGAAGGAUUCAACUCAUGAUAAGGUCUUGCCCAAAGAAAUGAAAGAAGGCUGGUCGUUAUGCUCUGACAACCAGCUGACUAUAAAUAUUGACGAAUUUAUUUGAUUAUGACCCAACUUUCAGGUUCGUCCCAAUACGAAGGAAACAAAACCCACGGCCUUUGCAAAACCAUAGAUUGCCAGAAGCCAUGUGACGAGGCAUGCAGCUCAAAAUGAGCCUGCCUGCGCAAAAGGAGGAGAUCAGGCUUCGAGAUGCCAUGAACAGUGUUGGGGGAAUGUAAGUCGCUCCCUAAGCACUUGAGCGCGCCAACGGCCCACGACCUCGGAAUCGCCCGACCCCGGACAUCCGACCGGACGCCCGACCGCGUCCGACCUGGCGCCCCGCCAGGCGUCUAACUUCAGAGCUCUUGACCUCGGAAGUCCGACCUCGUCGCUUACCUACCGCGGUCGCAUCCUUCGGAAGUCCGGUCAUGGGCCAUACCCUGUCACCGCCCCCAGCAUUCAAUGCGCAUGGUCUUUGCAGACCCCCGGCUCACUCAACGUUUAAUGUAUAUCUCCGGCUCACUCAACAAUUAAUGCAUAUCUCCGGCUUACUCAACAAUUAAUGUAUAUCUCCGGCUCACUCAACAAUUAAUGCAUAUUUUCGGCUUACUCCACAAUUAAUGCGCGUGGCUCCUAUUAUCUACGGAUCUUCGGUCCUCCACGGCAAAUCAGCUCGGCAGUGUUCGGUCAGCCGUGACAACUCUCUGAUCCCGGCCUCACCUCCGACAUCAAGGUAUUAAUUCACCUGAUCGCGCGCCAACUCAUGCGACGUGCUAAGCCGUACGGCAACCUCGCCCCAUCACAUCACAGGUAACCCAACACUCCCUAUAAAAAGGGGACCCCUCCAUCCUAGAGGGGGUUGGACUCUGAAACCCGAAAAAGUAUAUCUUCCUCCUCUCUCCUCCCCCACAGAUUGGCCCCCUCUGACUUAAGCAUCGGAGGGCCGGCGCCGGAAACCCCAGCCACCGGCUUUCUUGCAGAUCUCUCGGAGGAUGCUGCCCGCCGACGGAUCACCGCCCGCCAGUUCUCGCCGGAGCUCCUCCUUCCCGCGGACAGGUCAUCCCCGGGUCCCGUUUCCAGCAACAGUUGGCGCUAGAGGAAGGGUCCGAGUCGCGGCCAUGAAGUUGAGAAGUAAAGGAGCCUCCAACGCUUUCCGGCGUCUUCCGUCAAGUCCUGGACACUCUGUCCAGAACUCACUUUCUUCGGCUGAUCCGGUUUCUCAAGUUCAACCGGAGCAGUUCAACGUCCUGGUGCAGCAAGUCCAGGCUUUGGCCGCCGCCGUCCAAGGCCUGCGGCAUGAGGAAGCCCCACCUACGCUGCCUCCGCAGGCCCAGAUCCCGCCGGAGCUUCCUCCGAAUGGCCCGAUCCUCCUGGGCCAGAAUCUUCAUGGCUCUUCCAGGGCCAAUAACGAAGAAAGAGCGUCACCCCAGAGAGAGCUGCCAGGGGGAAGCCUAGACAGAAGACUGCAGCUCUUAGAAGCCGAGUCGGCCCCGGACCGCCGCGAGUCGGAGCAGACUACUGUGGCAAUCUCCCAGGCCGGGGAGCUCGAUAGGAAGGUCGAGAAUCUUGAGCGCCAGAUCGAGGCGCUUCACAGCAGAAAGGCAAGGCNNNNNNNNNNNNNNNNNNNNNNNNNNNNNNNNCCCCUUUUCCCGCCAGAUCGAGGAUGAGCCGGUUCCACCCAGAUUCAAAAUGCCCCAGGUGGAGCCCUACCACGGGACUACCGACCUCCUCGAUCAUUUGGAGAGCUACCGAGCCCUCAUGGCAUUGCAAGGGUCUUCGGAGGCCGUGCUCUGCAAGGCCUUCCCAGCUACUCUGCGGGGAUUGGCUCGGCUUUGAUUUUCGGGACUGAAGCCGAGCACAGUCUCCUCUUUUGAGCAGCUCGGCAGGCAGUUUGCCACCAACUUCGUUGCCAGCCGGCGCCAGCGGCGAACGUCGGACUCGCUCCUGGACGUCAAGCAGCGGGAGGGAGAAUCUCUCAGGGAGUAUCUCGACCGUUUCACCGCUUCAACCUGGGAGGUCCGCGAGCUCGACCAGUCGAUAGCCAUGUCGGCGCUGAAGACUGGGGCUCGCUCCUACAGAUUUCUCUUCUCUAUCAAGAAGAGCUUCCCUGCCGACUUCACCGAGAUGCUGGCCCGAGCUCGAAAAUACGCGAAGGCCGAGGAGGCUAUCGCCUCUAGGCGAGGUGCGAUCGAGCCGGCUUCCAAGAAGCAGAAGAAGCGCCACGAGGAACGUGGCCACCCGGAAAGUCGAUCUCCCCGCCAGGAUGGGAACCUGCCUCGACUAAGGAGCCCGCCUCGGCAGCAGAGACGGUUUCGAUCAAGGUCCCAGCCUCGACCCAGAUCCCCGCUACGGCCUCGGAUGCACUCGGGGAGGUACGAGAACUACACUCCCAUCAACGCAUCUCGGGCCGAGAUCCUGAUGGAGAUCGAAGGUCGGGAUUUCUUCCGACCCCCACCCCCGAUGCGGGACAUAGGAGUCCCGCGUAAUCCCAGAAAGUACUGCCGCUUCCACCGGGACCACGGCCAUGAUACGGAGGAUUGUUUCCAGCUCCGAGACGAGAUUGAGGCGCUCAUCCGCCGCGGGGUACUCAACCGGUUCGUGCGGGGCCGGCGUGAGGAAAGGAGGCCGGCAGAAAACGCCGUACAACCCGAAAAUCCAAAUGAUAAUAGGCCCAUCGCCGGCACCAUCAAUGUAAUUGGAGGAGGAAGCCCGGCUGGAGAGCCAGCCCAAGAGGGGAUUCCCCCAAAGCGCCCGCGCACUUCCGAAGCCAUCUCGUUCUCGGACAAGGAUUUGGAAGGGGUUGAGACCCCUCACGAUGAUGCUGUGGUCAUCUCUAUAAUUGUAAACAAGUUUGAUGUAAAGCGUGUCUUAGUUGAUAAUGGAAGCUCGGCUAAUGUUUUGUACUUUGACGCCUAUUCUAGAAUGGGGAUGGCAGAGAAGCAAUUACAGAGGAUGAACGCCCCGCUGGUCGGAUUUACUGGAGACUCAGUUCCAGUGGAGGACGAGAUCGAUCUCCUGAUCACGGUCGGGCUCGCCCCCCGAGAGAGUACCGUGAGGAUGGAUUUCCUCGUGGUGCGUUUGCCCUCGGCCUAUAAUGCCAUCCUUGGAAGACCAGGGCUCAACGCUCUUCAAGCCGUGGUCUCAACCUGCCACCUACUUAUGCGGUUCCCCACCGGCCAAGGAGUCGGCGAAGUCCGUGGGGACCAGGCGGUAGCAAGGCGAUGCUACAUGGCGACCCACGAAGCGAAACAACCAGCCAAAGUGUCGGCCUCGACAUUAGAUGGCAAGCUCGCGGCCGAAACCUUAGAGGCACGGGUCGGCCCACAGAAGAAGCGGGUAGAGCCUGGUGAGCUACUCACCCAAAUUUCCUUACGAGAAAAUUGCCCUGAGCUAACCGUGCAGGUCGGCUCCGGCCUUGAUGCCCGCGAAAGGGAACGCCUUAUCAACUUUCUACAGGCCAACAUGGACGUCUUCGCCUGGUCGCCUGCCGACAUGCCGGGAAUAGAUCCGGAGGUCGCAGUCCACCGACUCCAAGUAAAACCGACCUGUAAGCCCGUGCGACAAAAGAAGCGAAAUGCCGCUCCAGAGCGACAACGAGCAGCGGCCGAGGAAGUCGACAAACUCCUCAAGGCCGGCUUCAUCCGGGAGAUAUCUUAUCCGGAGUGGCUCGCCAAUGUGGUCCUCGUCGAAAAGGCUAGCGGAAAGUGGCGCAUGUGCGUGGACUACACCGACCUGAACAAGGCUUGCCCGAAGGACAGCUUGCCACUCCCUAGCAUCGACCAGCUCAUGGACUCUGCCUCGGGACAUGAGCUGUUGACAUUCAUGGACGCCUUCUCAGGGUACAACCAGAUACGGAUGGCGCCGGAAGAUGAAGAAAAGACAGCCUUUAUUACUGACGGGAGCACCUAUUGUUACAAAGUGAUGCCCUUCGACUUAAAGAAUGCUGGAGCAACUUAUCAAAGGCUGAUCAGCCAAAUCUUCAAAGACCAAAUAGGCCGAAACAUGGAGGUCUAUGUCGACGACAUGCUGGUAAAGAGUCGAAUGACGAAGGAUCAUGUGGCUGACCUCGACGAAGCAUUCUCCAUGCUUCGAAAGCACCGGAUGAAGCUCAAUCCCGCGAAAGGUGCAUUUGGAGUCACCUCGGACAAGUUCUUCGGCUUUGUGAUCACCCAACGGGGAAUUGAAGCCAACCCCGAGAAGAUCCGAGCGCUCCAAGAGAUGGUGCCCCCAAGGACAGUUAAAGAGGUGCAGCGGCUUACGGGACGGGUUGCAGCUCUCGGAAGAUUUGUUUCCCGAUCGGCCGAGCGUUGUCUUCCGUUCUUCGCGACUCUCAAGCGGCCGAAGAAUUUUUUGUGGUCGGCGGAGUGCCAGCAAGCUUUCGAAGAGCUUAAGCGUCUCCUCGCUUCUCCUCCUUUGCUCACAAAGCCUCAGCAGGGUGAGCUCCUUUAUCUGUACCUGGCUGUUUCUCCAGUUGCAGUGAGCUCGGUCCUGGUUUGAGAGGAGAGCAAGCUUCAGAGAUCGGUAUACUACACUAGCCGGGUCUUGAGGGAUGCCGAGACCCGAUACUCCAAGCUGGAAAAGACCAUCUUUGCCCUAGUUGUCUCGGCUCGGAGACUUCGGCCCUAUUUUCAAGCUCACACGGUGGCCGUGUUGACCGACCAGCCGAUGAAGCAGAUCCUGCAACGAUCAGACCGUGCUAGCCGAAUUACAAAGUGGGCCGUCAAGCUCGGAGAGGUCGACCUCGAGUACCGACCCAGAUCGGCGAUCAAAGCGCAGGCGCUCGCCGACUUUAUAGUCGAGUGCACUGUGCCAGACGAGGCCGAGUUCGAGCGCGCACCAACGGAGCAGACCCCGAGGUCGACGUGGACUCUGCACGUCGACGGUUCUUCGAACUCGAGGGGUAGUGGAGCGGGCCUCAUCCUCACCAGUCCAGAUGGAGUGGUCGCCGAGCAGGCUCUACGUCUCGAGUUUUCCGCCUCCAACAAUGUGGCGGAAUACGAGACACUCAUCGCCGGGCUCAAGUUGGCAAGGAAGCUGGAAGUGGAGGACCUACAGGCCUUCAGCGACUCCCAACUGGUUGUGAACCAAAUCUUGGGCGACUUCGAAGCCAGAGAGCCCACGAUGCAGGAAUAUCUUCGGAAAGUGCGGGAUCUCACCUCGACCCUGAGCUCUUUCUACAUCCAACACAUUGCCAGGUCGGAGAACCUCAGAGCAGAUCAACUGUCAAAGUUGGCAUCCUCUCGCAUGAGCGAGCUUCCCAAAGCGGCAGCGCUGGAGUACCUCCAAAAACUCAGCACGGAGAAACCCGAGCCAGCCUUUUGCAUCGAAAUCGAGCCGAGCUGGAUGGACGAGCUCGUCAGCUAUCUACAAAAUGAAGUCCUCCCCAAUGACGAACGCGAGGCUCGCCGAGUCAAGCGUCUAGCCGCUCGGUACAUAUUGUACGAAGGCAGGCUUUAUCGGAGAUCUUUCACCUCUCCCCUCCUCAGAUGCCUCCGCCCGACAGAGGCGGAUUAUGCAAUGCGCGAAGUCCAUGAAGGGAUUUAUGAAAAUCAUCUCGGAGGCCGAGCGCUGGCGCACAAGAUUUUGCGCCAGGGAUAUUACUGGCCGACACUCCAGAAGGAUACGCUAGACUUCGUCCGGAGAUGCGACCGAUGCCAGAGGAACGCCAACAUCCAACGCCGACCCUCGGCCCUGCUGACCUCGAUCAGUUCCUCCUGGCCAUUUGCCCAAUGGGGAAUUGAUAUUCUGGGACCAUUUUCCCUGGCAAUCGGGCAAAGAAAAUUUUUGGUCGUCUCCAUCGACUAUUUUACUAAAUAGGUGGAAGCCGAGCCAGUCGUCCGGAUCACCAAGCAGAAGAUGCGGGACUUCGUUUGGAAGUCAAUAAUCUGCAGAUUCGGACUCCCCCGCAUCCUUAUAUCAGACAACGGUUGCCAGUUUGACAACGCUCGCUUCAGAGAGUUCUGCUCCGAGCUCGGCAUCGACCACCGCUUCACCUCGGUCGCGCAUCCUCAGACAAAUGGAGAAACCGAGGUAACGAAUCGUACUAUUUUGCAGGGGCUCAAAGCCAGGCUCGAACAGUCCAGGGGACAGUGGGUCGAAGACCUAUACAACGUCCUGUGGGCUUAUCGGACCACGUUCCGUGUACCCACCGGCGAAACUCCUUUCAAUUUGACAUAUGAAACGGAAGCCGUCAUUCCGUUGGAGAUCGGGCUCCCUUCUCCGAGGGUAGAGCAUUAUGACGCCGACUCCAGCUUCUUGCAGCUCAGAAACAACCUGGACCUAAUCAAGGAGACAAGGAAAGCCGCCCGAAUCCGCAUGGCGAGGUACCAGCAAAAGACGGCGCAAUACUACAACGCCAAAGUCAAAGUCAAGUCCUUCAAGGUGGGAGACCUCGUCCUCAGAAGAGCUGAAGCCUCUCAGCCGACCGAGCGAGAAAAUUGGCUCCGAACUGGGAAGAGCCCUACCGGGUCGUGUGCGUCCAGCGACCCGGAGCGUACAAGCUGGAGUCUCUUGACGGGAGCCCAAUUCCACGAAGCUGGAGCUCCGAAAACCUCCGGGUGUAUCACCAAUAGAACCCCAAGGGGUUCUCUAUUUGGAGCAUAAGUCUCAUCUUUUUACAAUAACUUAUCUGCAAUUGUUUCAUUGUGCUGUGUUUCUCCUGAUGUCUAAAUAUUUCGUAAUUCUUAGACAACCCGGCCCAGCUCGGACGCCCGACACAACUCAGAUGCCCAACACAACUCGGAUGCCCGACCAAGAUCGGAUGCCCCAGCCAAGCCUGGAACGCCCAGACGCGCCGAUAUCGAGCUCGGUCUCGAUCUCCCUCAGAGACCUCGACUAAGUUCGGGAUGCCCCGAGUGUCAACCGUAGAGUCCCAAACUCCCUCGAUCUCGGAAAGCGUCGCAGGUCGACAGUGCGUCCCUAGACCCCUCGACCUUGCGCACGAUUCUCCGACUAAGGUCGGGAUGCCCCGCUGAGUCGACAGUGAGCCCAAGCUCCUUCGGCCUCGGAAAGAUGGGAUAGUACCUUCGCGGCCCUNNNNNNNNNNNNNNNNNNNNNNNNNNNNNNNNNNNNNNNNNNNNNNNNNNNNNNNNNNNNNNNNNNNNNNNNNNNNNNNNNNNNNNNNNNNNNNNNNNNNNNNNNNNNNNNNNNNNNNNNNNNNNNNNNNNNNNNNNNNNNNNNNNNNNNNNNNNNNNNNNNNNNNNNNNNNNNNNNNNNNNNNNNNNNGGGAUGCCCCGUGUGUCGACCGUAGAAUCCCAAACUCCCUUGACCUCGGGAAGCGUCACCAGGUCGACGGCGAGCCCAAGCUCCCUCGGCCUCGUGCUCGAUACCUCGACCAAGGUCGGGAUGCCCCGUGUGUCGACCGUAGAGUCCUAAACUCCCUCGACCUCGGGAAGCAUUACCAGGUCGACAGCGAGCCCGGGCUCCCUCGACCUCGGGAAGACGGGAUAAUACCUUCGCGGCCCUCUGUGACUCGACAACAGCGACGGGAUAACGCCUACGCAAGUCCCCGACGACAGCGACAUCUCCCAGCAUGCCGGUGUCCCCAGAGCGGAUCUCAGGCCAAAAAAAAAAACGCCUCUGAAAGCUGACCGAGGAACGAAACGGCCUGCUUCAACAUGGGGCACCUGAUUUCGAAGGUGCAAAAGGUACAUCCCAUUUAGCACCUGCUCCAUUACAUUUAUUUGCUUAUGUAUCGCCAGUGAGAUCCCAAUCAAGCUCGGGAUCCCUCCCGACCAAGGUCGGGAUGCUCUUCUGAACCAACCCAAGGCUGAGGUCCCGGCGACCCCGUGCAUGUUUUCUUUAUUUAUGACCUCUGAAUGAGGGCUCAGCCAAGCCCGAACACCAGGAAGUCGACGUCCGUGCGUAGCAAUGACCUCGACCUUUGAUGCUCUGGUCGACUUCAAAAGUGCCAAGGCACCCACCAUAUAUUCUUAUUUUGCUUGUCGGUACCUCGACCAAGUCCGAGGCCAAUAGCCGCGAAGACCCUAGCGGCAACUUUACUUCGGUUUACAGUCCUCUCGGGGACCGACCCUACAAUUUUUCGUGAACUUACGUCUGAAAAAGCAGAGCUCAAAAACUUGGCCGAAUACUCCAGAAGAUGAAUCUGGAAGCCUAGCAAAGCCUCUUGUGGGGUCUGAGGCCCAACUUCGGUGCUUUAAAAAUUCGAGAGCAAGGCUCAAGGACCUGGCAAACUACGAACCGAGCUCAAAGAUUUAGUGAAUUUUCCUAAGGUUUGAGCCCGGCGCCAAAAGGCUCUUCAUCGGACCUAAGCUUGAUAAUCUGGCGAACGUAAUCCGAACCUAAGUCUAUGAGUUUAGCCGAACUCCAGUACUUAGGAAAAUUCGCCAGGAGGGAAUCAACUCGGACGAUUAAAGUAAAGCCCUAUUCGUUACGCAAAGAAGAGAAAAGCAGACAUGAAUUUAUAAAGAAAGCUCUCUCAUUAAUGGAAGGCCCGAAGGUUGGAGUACAAAAUUGAGGGUCGGCCAAACAACAAGUUUGAAGGCCAACCUCGCUUAUAAUAAAAGAAAAACAAAAGAAGAUAAGUCCUAGGGGGCUACGGCCUCGUUAAUGCCAGGAUCGUCCACGACGAUCACUUGGGGGCCCUCGGCGGAACUCAGCUCGGGACCCCCCGCGGCCGGCUCAGGUACCUCCCCAGUAAGAGCCUCUUGAACCGAUCGAUCAGCCUCGGCGGCCUCGGGUUCGGCAACCUGUCCCUCAACCUCGAUUCUGGCGGCCUCGGGUUCGGCAACAUGUCCCUCGACCUCGGUUCCGACGGCCUCCUCCUCGUCCUCAAGUGCGGAGGGCAAACCGAACUCAUCACCGAAUCCUGAUUUCGACCGGAUCCCAGACAGGUCGAACUGAGGGCAAUACCGAGCCAUUUGUCUUCGAAAAUUUUCGAAGCCCCGGAGGAACCCGUCCACGGUCUCCUCCUCCAACAUAUCGCGGAACUCUUCCGACUCUUUGAAGAGCUUCCCGGCAUUCUCGGCCCGCUCGAGCGCCCUUCUCUUCCAGGCCUCAAGCUGCUCGACCUUUAGGCGGAGAACUCCACCCUCAUAUUUAUAGCCGGCGGCUUCAGAGUGGGCCUCCGCAAGACGUGCCUCAGAGUCGUGCAGCGCCGUCCUCGUUAGGGCAUGCGCGGCCCUCUCUUCCUCGAGCUCAUCGGCGAUUGCUCGCCGACCGGCCUCGGUGGCCUCCCUCCGAGCGACGGCCUCAGUUAGCGCGGCCUCCGACUCCGCGAGCUUCUUCUUGGCCGAUUCCUGUUGUUUGCGGAAUCGCCGAGACUCAUUCUAGCAUUCCGAGGCAAUGAAUACCAGAGUGUCUAUUUCAUGAAUAUGCUACAGGAAAAAUAACAAUGAGUAAGAGAAAAGAAAAUGUCGACGACUAAGGACAAAAUAAGAGGACAGCUUAUCCGAGCAGUGUUGCAGUAUGUCUGGUCGACAAUCUCUUCGAGACCGAGAUUCCUGAAGUCGGCCUGGUCGGCCGGGAGCAUUGCGCGACGAAAGACGGCGCGCGCAACGUCACCAUCCCGGAAGGCCGAGCUGCCCUCCGGGAUCGGGGAUUCCGGGUCGGCCGACUCCCUUCCGGAACACCCCCGGGGCCCCUGCUCGGCUCGGGCCCCGAGCGCCGCAGGCGCAAGGCCGGCCGACCCGCUUGUUGAGAAACGGGGGCAGGAUGUUCCGAAGGCGCCGAGUCCGAUGCCCCCCUGGAACCCGAGCUCGUAUGCUCGGCGACUGGGACCCCUUCCCGGACGGACCCCGACGCUCCGGCCUCGGAACCCCUCACCUCGGCAGGGGUAGAAGCAGCAGCCAACUUGGCCUUUUUUCUGGGCUCGGGAACAGCCCCACCUGCUUCGGCUGACCUCCGUUUCAGCCGGAAGAAGAGAGAUGUGUUGCUAGUCGGCAUUCGGGGAAUGUCUGAAAUAAAAAAAGAGAAGAAGAAAAAAUUCUAAGAAAAGAGAGAAAAAAACGAAUAAGGUAAAGACAAAACAAUGUGACCGCUCUUACCCUCCGGACGUGCCGAACUCAGGCCAACGCUCGCCAAGGCACCCUCUUUUAGGAGGUCGGUCAGGUUGAAAUCCUUCCCGAGGCCCCGCGGAGCGUUAAGGACCCUCUGCUCGCUCGCCGAGGGCUCGGAGAUCCUGUUAAGGGCCUUCAGCCGGGGGUGCCCCCACUUGGGUCGAAUCCCCAUGACACCUCGGAUGCAAGAAAGAAAAAUCUUCCCUUUCACUCAUGAAUAGAGGAAGGGGCACCUUGGAAAAGUGACAUACCGCUCCGAAAGGCGAAAUAUAGCCACUCUCCAUCCGUCGGGUUUGUCUUUAAUAAAAAACACCGGCGAAAAACGCUCACCGAAGUCGGAAUCCCGUGCGCAAGGCAAAGGGACAAGAAUCCGACGAUGGUCCUCCAUGAAUUCGAAGCAAGCUGUGCUGGGACGAGUUGGUACUCCACCAGCAGGCUGUUCACGAACUCAUGGAGAGGGAACCGUAAACUAGCCCAGAGCGUCUCGAGAUGAAUCCCGAUCCGACCUGGGGUCGGCCGCGUCACCCUAUCCUCCCGCCUCGCGGUUUNNNNNNNNNNNNNNNNNNNNGAAUCCGACGAUGGUCCUCCAUGAAUUCGAAGCAAGCUGUGCUGGGACGAGUUGGUACUCCACCAGCAGGCUGUUCACGAACUCAUGGAGAGGGAACCGUAAACCAGCCCAGAGCGUCUCGAGAUGAAUCCCGAUCCGACCUGGGGUCGGCCGCGUCACCCUAUCCUCCCGCCUCGCGGUUUUGAGAUGAAACCCGGGCCGGAAAAAGAACCGGGUACGGACCAGUUCCAGCUUCUCCCCCGACAGACUAGAUCCAAUCUCAUCCGAACCAAGACCCAUUUUAGAAGAAAGAAAAACAACCAAAAGAGGAAGAAGACGAGAAAAAGCCCAAAAAAGAAGAAGAAGAGGGACCCCCUAGCUAACGCAGGAAGGAAACCUAUGGGGGGAACCGCCGGAGAUCGCUCCGAGCACCGUCGGGGAAGCUCUGUUGCGACUGAGAAAGAAGACAAGAGGAUAGAAACGGCGGAAAAAAGGGAGCAACCAAGCAAGACCUCCCUUUGAGCCAGAUUGAGGGGUUUAUAUAAACCUUUCUAACGGCCCAGAUCGGCAGAGCUGGUUUCCACCCCUCAUCCAGAUCACGCCACGUGUCGGCCUCGGAAGCCGAAGCAGCGCAUUCAUUCUGGGCUGAUGCCUCGAGUACAGAAUCGAGGCGAUGUCCCGUCGGAUCCCGAAGCCCCAUCAUGAGCUCACUAUACGAAGCAACCUCGAAGGACGAAGGGGCAUCGCCCCCUCUUCCCCCAUUAAGGACGCCCCGAAACGUGCGGAGCGCCAGAAUAAUUUAAGAUUCACUGGUCCCCACUAGUUUAAUAAUGGCAGUUACUUUCUGAGCCCGAGCUCGCGAAACGACUCGAACUCGGAAGUCGGGGGGUAGUGUUGGGGGAAUGUAAGUCGCCCCCUAAGCACAUGAGCACGCCAACGGCCCACGACCUCGGAAUUGCCCGACCCCGGACACCUGACCUGGCGCCCGACCUCGGACGUCUGACCGGACGCCCGACCUGGCGCCCCGCCAGGCGUCUAACUUCAGAGCUCUUGACCUCGGAAGUUCGACCUCGCCAACUCAUGCGACGUGCUAAGCCGUACGGCAACCUCGCCCCAUCACAUCACAGGUAACCCAACACCCCCUAUAAAAAGGGGACCCCUCCAUCCUAGAGGGGGUUGGACUCUGAAACCCGAAAAAGUAUAUCUUCCUCCUCUCUCCUCCCCCACAGAUUAGCCCCCUCUGACUUAAGCAUCGGAGGGCCGGCGCCGGAAAUCCCGGCCACCGGCUUUCUUGCAGAUCUUCCGGAGGAUGCUGCCCGCCGACGGAUCGCCGCCCGCCAGUUCUCGCCGGAGCUCCUCCUUCCCAGCGGACAGGUCACCCCCGGGUCCCAUUUCCAGCAACAAACAAAAGCCAUGAUCAGUUCUUUGGUUCAGUGAAGAGAGAGAACAGGCAGUGGGGUGGGGAGUGGUACCAUCUCCCCAAUGGACAGUUUUGCAUCAGUGAAGAGAGAGAACAGGGAACCGAAGCUUGAGGUCGCAAGAACAAGGAUGAGGCUGACUGAUUUAGAAAAAGAUCAUGUCUCAAUGAAACAAGAGUUUGUUCACAAUGUAAAAGUAUCAUUCUAAUUGGUGAAGCCGGUCAUGAAUCCUUGACGGCUCCUAUCCCAUCUACAAUGUCCUUUUCCCUCCUACCACAUCCAGCAGCACCGAAUUUAACUCCCCUGGACCUCUCUUCACCUCCCCACCCCUCUCCAAACCCAAACGACCUCACUCAUAACCACCUCUGGCUUUCUCCAGCUCCCUCUCUCUUCUUCUCACGUUUCCAGCUGUUGCUGGAAAUGGGAUCUGGAGGCGACCGUUGGCUGAGAAGAAGAAGCUCCAGCAAGUGGUGUGGCGGUGGGCUGCGUCCUCCGGGGGACCUGCAAGAAGCAGGUGGCUGGAGUUUCCGGCGCCGGCCCUCCGAUGCUUAAGUUAGAGAGGGACUCUUAUGGAGAGAAAGAGAUAUUGCAUGUAGAAGUCAAAAGUCAGAAGUCCUCUCCUCUGAGAAGAGGGAGUCUUCCUUUUAUAGGAGGGGUGUCAGGGUUACGUGCGAUGUAACUGUGCGAAUUAAUGAGUUACCGUCAUAAUUGGACGUGAUCGUGUGAAUUAAUGAGUUGCCGUGGAUGACUGGACGUGAUUGAGUCAAUGAGUUGCCGUGGAUGACUGGACGUGAUUGAGUCAAUGAGUUGCCGUGGAUGGCUUGAGAUUUCGGGCUGGCUGGAGGUCCGUGGAGAUCGUGCGCAUUUAACUGUUAACAGUCGCUCAGGCAGAGAUCGCGGGAUUGGAUCCCGGAUAAGGAGGAGAAGGGCUUGAUUUUCGGUGAGAUGGAGAAGUCUGCUUCGUCCUUUGACCGAGUCUUCCUCGGACUUGAGGUCGAUCGGGGUUCGGCUUGGUCGAGAUCAAGGCCGCAAGCUCUGAGGUCGAGCGCCUUCAAGUCGUGCUCCUUUGAGGGUUGCUGCUAUUACGCUCGCCAUCACGUAUCGGUGAUGAAUCCACGUAUUUUGGGGCAAUUCAUUUUUCCCCCGACACCAACCAAUGUCCUCAAAAAUCUUGGACACCGCAGCACCGAAAGCUCAAGGCCACAACCCACCCUCAGUGGGCUUCUGUCGGGCUAAGCCAUCCUCAUCGUCAUCGCCAGCAACCACAGAGCCAGGGAGGUUCCUUGGUGUGAGGAGAAGGCCUUGGGGGAGGUAUGCUGUUGAGAUAAGGGACCCCACGACCAAGGAAAGGCAUUGGCUUGGGACCUUCGACCCUGCCCAAGAGGCUGCCCUGGCCUACGAUAUCGAGGGAAUGCGACGGCUACCAUGGGCAGUCUUACGGCAGCUAGGAAGCCGAUCAUUUUAGUCCCACAUCGCCUGCGUGCAAAAUAAUAUGUUCGUUUAAGAUACAGAAGUCCCGCUCCCUUGAUCGCCGAGCUUCGUUGCGGGAGCUUGUAACCCGAGUGGGGGCAUUAAAGUUGUUUGGACGCUUGGUCAUACCCCCGAGUACAGGCUCAGGUGGUGCGUAUGGAUCCGGCUAGCCCGUUCCAAGUUUGAUUAGUGAGAUGUGCGAUUUGAGCGAAGGCUUGGUUCGCGCAUCUCCUGAAGAGGAGGGAACAGCGUUAGGCUGGUAUCACAGAGCAGCGAACACCUCCCGCUCUCAACGGUGAAAGGACAGUUAGCCGCCGCCCCACUGACCCUCUUAGGCUCGCAGGCAGACCAAUUGUGGACAACCACUUUUUUUUGUCUUUUCUCCGUACCCUUAUUUCUAAGCCCCUCGAAAAAAAAUAGAAUUAGGCUUCAUAUACCUCAAAAAUAAUAUUCAUUCGAUGAGACCGCCUUCUUAAUUAAAAAAACAUAAAUCAUGGUCAGAUAUAUAUAAAAUAUACCCUCCACGCAUGCUUCUAUUCCUAUUUCCUCUACAAAAUAAUAUAUAUUUAAUUUAAUGUAAUUUCAAAAAAUAUAGCCAGAUAAAUAAGAAUAAAUUAUUUCUAUUCCAACUUCUAGUGAAUUCAUUUUUGACUAUCAAUAAUUAUAUUCUUAGGUAUAAAAGAAUUGCUAACCAAGUUGCAAGGUUCAUCCGGCAUAGUUUCAAGCUCGCCCAAUCCAGUCAGCCAACGAGUUAAGUCCGAAUCCAAAAUUAUGACCCAAAAGAUAAGCAAGCUCGGUCCGACCCAAUCCUACCCAUUUGCAGACAUAGACAAAUCAGCAGUCCCUAUAUUCAAUGUGUCAAUGUGUCAUUUGCUAGCGUGACAUCUAAUUCCAAAUUCCAUGAGGACAUAAUUGCAUAUUAUCAUCAAAUAAUACAUACAUGCCAACAAAUUAUGAGGUUACAACUAUCGUCAUGCUUCUUUUUGGUCCACCAUAAAAUUUGCACAUGCACCCCACUAUUCUGAAUUAUCUAUAACAUAUGCUCAAUAAGAUUUUCAUACACAAGAAUAAAAGAAAAUAUACAAACAACACAAACUAAACGUUUUUUAUUACAUAUAUACCAUACACAAUUACAGGCUGUAACACAUUCUCUAACAGGCAUUUUGUUGGAGAAAGAAGUUUAUCCCAGCACAAAAACACCAAAAAAGAAUGCAAAGAUGGGAAUUUUGAGGUUGAUGAAUGGACUUCUUUAAAGCCAUGACCUAAAAGUUGCGACUAUUUCUUUUACUCCCAACCGAGGCAUGGGGCUUGGAUACAGGAAUGUUAAAGGAAGUUUAGAAACUGACCAAAUAAAAAGAAUGGUGAGGAAGAACCCUAUUGGGAUGACAUGGCAUUUGAAAUGAAACAUAAACAAGCCUCGGUGAAAAAAUUGUGAAGCCUAGAUUGAUUUCAAAGAAUAAAACCGGAGGAAGUUUUGAGAAUAAUUUGAAUACCUUUAUCAACAAAUUUUAUAGACCUCGACAACUAGAGACCACUUGAAAGAAAAUGACAAAGGAUUUUUGUUUGAUUGGCAAUGAAAAACACAGGAAAACAACUAGAGUGUAGAAUAUAAAAAAAUGACAUAUGAGAAUAGAAAAUAAAAAAUUAUGCGAACUAACAAAAAGUAGAAUAAGGGAGAAAAGAUAUUUAUCUUAGACUAAAAGAGUGGUCCAAUUUUAUGAGACUACUGUAAUUGCAAACUUGAGGAGGAUCGAAUGUAAGUAGUAUCAUCCUUGCAUAUGAAUAGAUUAAUUUUGGAUGUUUUAGGUCGGAGUCACGCUUGGAGCACCACCCGAUGCUGUUUCUCCACCAUGCAACUCCAUCAGAGCAUUGUUGUGGAGGCGUGUGGCGAUCCUAUUCGAUCUUUUCAGUUCGAAUGGCAAACAACUUAGGAACUUUGACGAUACAAAUUACUUGCCGUCUGGGUCAGACCGAUUCCUAGCAGCUAUAUUUUUCAUUUGAACUUUUCCCAAUUUCUAAAGACGUGAGAAAUCGUACUUUUUUAUUGAAACUCUUAAUUACUUGCUGUGAUCCUUCCAAUCAGAUCUCCAAAUAGAUUUUUAUAUUAUUAUUAUUAUCAUUACGUUAUUACUUGAUGUGGGUGUAAGUAGAGAGGUUAUUGGCGUGGGUACAAUGCUUCUUGUUGAAGCACCGAGUUGGUUUCCAGUCUCUGCGAUGCUCAGCGGAAUACAAAUCCUAAUCUAGAUUAGAUAUGAUCGAUAAAUCUUGGUUUAAGAGGGACUUUUGAGGAUCCUCAUGGUCAAUGAAUUUUUAAUAUUGGUAGAAAUACUUGCUCUCCUAACAUAGCAUCAAAUCCUCAAAUUUCGAUCAUCCUACAUUAGCUAGCUUGGCGACAAACACUAUUUUUGUUUAAUGAGGUGAGCCUAUUUUGAGUUGUCAUAAAUCUGAAGUAGUUCACUGCAAUAGCUCAUGCAAUGUAGAUUGAGCGCUCAGUUCAUGAUGAAGUAUUUUGAGCCACCAACACCUUCUAGUCAAAGUGUUGAUCUUUCAUUAAUGCUCUAAAUAUGACAGUGAGACACAAGUGAUACAUUAGAAUACGGAUAGCAAUAACCCUCUUGCUGUUGGAGUGCAAACAUCGUAAUCAGGUGAAGAUGGUAAACUCGAAGAAAUAUCACCAAAUAAUUCUACGUGACACAUUAAUUAUUUUCACAUAGCUUGACCUUCAAAUCUUCUUAAUUUGCAAGAACCUGCUCCUUUUCUCCGACCAAGAGUCCCUGUAACAAAAAAAAAUAAAAAUAAUCUUAAAGUAAAUAAAUACUUUGUUCAUAACGGUCAUGUUUCUGUCCUCUUUAAUUAGAAAGUAAGUGCACUAACCAGCUUCAGCCCUUCAGGUAUGAGGAGGGGGGCAGCAGCAGGGAAUAAAGACUCCUGUUCCCUUCCUCUCUCUCGGCAACAAAACCUACAAUUCCGACCUCCCUGCCUUAAAAACAAUUCCACAUACCACUAAUCUACCAUAUGCAAUAGAAUGGAGCUAAAAACAUUCCCAAAUAAAUAAAAUCCACUUAUGUUUACGCCCUCGAGGAUGGCUGCACUUACUGCUGCUGGCCGCUUCGUUUUAAGGCGUUGUGGUGUUAGUGGGUUUGAAUGCCUCCGGCGGCAAGCACUACGGCUGAUGCCGCAGUCCCACUGCUGCAGCAUGCAAGAUUUCUUCAUAACUCAGCACUCGAAAAAUAAAAAAGAUAGUUUCCAAGACCUGAAUCACAAUAAGCAACAAGAACUCGAUACUCUAGUUAUCAGUCAGAAGAUAAUUCUUGCCUCAGUGAGUAAAGAUGGGCUUGUUUUGCUCUCUUUAGGGGUCCGGCAUGCCGCGUCUAACGAGCUCUCUCCAUCGUCAGCCAUGAGAAGCAAAAUCUGCCUCUCUAUAUCCAUAAAGAACUCAUCCUUUUCUCCAUCAACGUAGGGAUCCAUUUCUACAAAGGAAAGAGGGAGUUUGAUGAACUGGUGGAGCGGCAGAGACAGCGAGGAGGCUAUAUAUAGAGAGAGAUGUAACUCCAUGGGUGUGUUUCAUAUAUAAGGUUCAGUUUACGAUCCAGGGCUCGUGGGUCCAAGUUGAAUGGCUCGAUAACGACAAUGAAUCUAUCUUCUUUUUUGUGCAUACAACGAAUCUAUCCUUAUUUCCAACUUUUCCGUGUGGGCCGUGUUGGAGAUGAGACAACCUUUUGUCACCCUCCUUGUAACGCUUGCAGCCAUGACUGCCAUAUAAAAAUGUAUCAACUUAUGGGGACGAUCGGUGUUACCGUUAGCAAUAUGUGUGCGUAUACGGGUGGAAUCUGAUCACGGGUCAGAACGGACAAGAUCCUAAACAAACUCCUCGAUCGUGCCAUAGUUUAAGUUUGGCUCCAUAUUGGAUGCCCCAUAAGUGGCUUCUUUCCGAGAAAAACUGAAAACAGCUUUGAAUUAUAUCUUAAAAUCGUCAUUUUUGCUGACGUUUCAGUAUGGAUGGUGUAAUUAUUUCCAUAAAUGUCGUGUUUUUAAUAUCAGUGAUAGCCAUGACUAUCAUUAUAGAUUCUUAUGUUAAUUUUGCUAGUUUCUUGUGCAAAAAAUAGCAGAUAAUAGUUGUAACAAAUUGAAACUUAAAAAAUUAACAUGAUAUUUACUUUUAGACGCACUAAAUUAAUCAUGUAUGUAUCUUAAGGAUGGUCUUGUUUAAGCUCGACCACUCUUAUCUACAUGCACAUGCAAGUACUAUGAUCAGCCAUGCAUGAGACAAUCAUGGGACAUGCUGCAAUCAAUCAUAAGCUGGCUCAUGAGUGCACAAAUUUGCAUAUAAAGAUAUAGAAAUUUUCUUUAAACUUUCACCGAAUGAAUUUAUUGGUACUAGAUUACGUGAUAAUGGUCAAGUAAAACUUAUUGUUUGGGCCCAGCUAACAGCCCAAUUUUCAUGGGUUAGAAACUGGCCCAGGUUCAAGCUGGAUCUGGUUCGUUUCUGUUCCGGUCCGGCCGGAACCUCGCAAGCUGCAAGAAGCCUUUUAGGCUGCGGGGGUUUGGGAAAAGAUUGGAAGAGGAGGACGCGGCGGCCGAGGGAAGAGAGAUGAACACGGACAUAACAGCAUCGGUGAAGCCGGAGUACCCGGUGGUGGAUCGCAAUCCUCCCUUCACCAAGACCGUCGCCAACUUCAGCACCCUCGACUACCUCCGUCUCUCCACCAUCACCGGUGUCUCCGUCACCGUAGGCUAUCUCUCCGGUCAGUCCCGCCGGCUUCGCCCAUUCUCCCCCAAUCUUUUCUAGGGCUAGGGUUAGGGUUAGGGUUAGGGUUAGGGUUUGACAAUCGCUUUAAUUCGUGCAGGGAUUAAGCCCAACAUCCGAGGGCCCUCGAUGGUGACGGGCGGCCUGAUCGGGCUGAUGGGCGGUUUCAUGUACGCCUACCAGAACUCCGCUGGCCGGCUUAUGGGCUUCUUUCCCAACGACGGCGAGGUCGCACGUUACAAGAAGUAGAGGAAAGUCCAAUCGCCGUCGAAUAAUUCUUCAAACUGCUUUUCUGGUUUUGCUGGUUGAUUGUCUUCUAAAAGUCUUCAUAUGAUGUUUAUAACAUGAUGCUUCUGAUUUGCUUCUAUGAUUAGAGAUUUGCUUCCAAGGUCAAAAAUUCGUAGCGGGUCUCAAAUGUUAUAUAAUAAGUAUGCGAUUGCAUCAUGUGAAAUUUCUACCAUGAACUUGAGUAUGGAUGGAUGUUCUUGGAUUUUGAUGUGUUAUGGAUCAUUUGUAGUUGUGUUCUAGUCAUCAAUCUCAAGCCUGGUGUUGGUUACUCAGGGACUUUCACAUGCCUAUUCCAGAAUGUUUUCAUGUUUUAUAUUUGUAACGUUUAUGUUUUCUUUUUCUUGAUAAUGCAUGAUUGUUUUAGAUUAAUAUGUUGUUCAUUGGGUUCAUUUUUGGUGCUUUUUACAUAGUUUUAUAUUGAGAUAUGAUAUUAGCUCGCUUUUUUCAUGCAUUGAUGAAAUUCAAUCCUCCUAAUAAUUGCAACAACACUUGAUGGUUAUGAUUAUGGUAUUGAUAAAGUGCAAAUUAACACUGUGUACACUAAUAGUUCUAGAUUUCAUUCAUGUUCAUUACCAUAUCUAGAAUCUAGACAGUUCUAAAUGCAUCGUCAGAGUAAAUCUGAACUCUGUAUUGAGUGGUUUUACUCUGUGAAUUGUUACUGUUUUGCUUAAGAAUGCAAGAGAAAGGAUGUUAAUCAAAAUACUACAUUUCAGGGCAAGCUGUUGGCAUGUUGCUGUUAUCAUUUUAUCCUCAACUUGUUUUUGUGCUUGGCAAUCCAAGAGAUAGAGUGUAAACAAAAAAUGGAAAGAAACAUUUUAGUGUUUCUUGCAGGAAUCUUAAAGAGUUUCAUCUUGAGAUCCAUAAUUACGGCCUCAUGAUAGAUUAUUGUUUCCCAAAAACCAUACAUUUUGCGCUUUAGCACAUUUUCAAAGAUGCACUGUUGUGACAGAUCCAUUGUGGGGUAAUAAAUGAUAUGAUAGUUGUGUUAAAUCCCUUGAGUUAUCGGCUUUGAAAUGCACCAAAGGUUUAUUUAUUUAUGUUUGAAAGGAUGCACAUUCAUACUUCAUCAUUGCCUAUCUAUUUUGUAAAUUCAUCCCCUUUAGCUUUCUGGAUGAUUGGUAAUGUUUAGGAACAAGAGCUCCACAAACUUCCUUUGAUCAUUGACCAAAUCAAGCAAUAAUUCAACUAUAGGUUCAACACCGUCUCACACAUUAUGCAGAUUGGUAGGAGAAGAAAUGAAGGUUGGUUCAGAUUUUUCAGCUUUGCUAAUUGCUGUAGUGGGAUUUCUUUAUAGAUUGAUGUUGUGCUCAAUGAACAUAAUAGGUCUAGCUUUGUAUCAACAGCAAAUGUUCAUCCUUCCAACAUUCUAUAAAGCAAAUCUUAAAACUUACACCUAGUUGUCUAAAACGAGGUUCAUCGUGUAGUAUUAUAUGAAAGCAAUGGGCCAAUUUUGUUUAUUUGAUAUGGCUUUUGAGAGUUAGAGACUCCUUAAAGAACCUCUAUAUAGGGGCAACAAACUACUAAGGAAGUUACGAUAAUUCCAAUAUUAGCCAUCAAAAAUUUUGUUCUACUUCUUUGUUGGAGCAAACCUAUUCACUAGUUAUCAUAAAGCGUAAGCAUUGGCACACAACAACCAACCAAGGGGAUCUAAGGUACCUUUAACCAAAAUUAGCCUUGUACAACACGAAAAGCAGCCUUACAAUCUAGUUAACUUGUUCGCCAGGUUAAGAAAGUUGUGAGUUGAACCAAACCAACCAAUAUUCAGGUAUCCGAAACUUGACCUGAACAUCUAUUAUUUUUUUUCCUUUUGCUUCUGGAAGGAAAAGUUUUAGGGGUUAGGACUAAGGAUUAGGGUUUGGUCAAGGUAUCAUUAGCAGUCAUAGCAAUGGUAGAAGAAGGGUGCAUGUUUUUUUUUCCUCCUUUUUGGGAUAGGUGGUGGUUAGCGGGGUUGGAUUGGGGAAGGGUGGAGAAUAGCAAGGUAGGGGCCUAGGUAAGGGUGGGAUGGAUGGGGCUUGGUGGAGAGUGGUGAUGGCACAAAGGUAGAGCAUGGUGGAGGCAGGUGAUGGAGCAUAGAUGGAGUGACGUUGGAGGUCGAGAUGAGUUAACAACUGCAGUGAGGGUGAGUGCUUUCUUGGGUUAUAGUGCAAAGAGAGAUGGAGAUGGAGGUGGAGAUGGGGUAACGACUGCAGUGACGGUGAGUGCUUUCUUGGGUUAUUGUGUAAGAGAGAGAGAUAUGGAGGUAGGGAUGGCUAGAAGAUGAGAGAAGGAAGGAGGAGUUGUUGUGAUUGAUGAUCAUUUAAGGAAGACUUGAAGGAUUGCGGAUUGGAAAUUGCAUGGGAGAGUAGCAAAAUAUGGAAUCAAGGGUUUGGAAAAGCGGUUAUGAGAUAUUUGAUAAGUAAAUUGUUGUUGGAUAUAAAUUUUAUUUUAUAAUACAUAUAAUUUGAACAAGUCCAAUUAGGUCCACACAAAACUGAGUCUGACCUAGUUACUAGUAGGGUAAUUUGUUGGAUCAUUUUCUAGGUACAUUGGGUCAAAGAAUUUUGGCCCAUACGUGGGCUAAUUGGGUUGAAUUUGACCAAAUUCUAGCUUAUUGGUAGGCCUAUGGUCUAUGAGUUUCAUUCCAUGCUUUCAUUGGUUAAGAUACAAUUAGAUUCGACUCUUGAUUUUAGUUUUGCUAAAAUUCUCAACCAUUGAGAUCCACCAUUAGAUGCCGCAUUUUGCUCAACUAUUCAUACAUAUUUUUUUAACCAUCAAUCAUCAUCGUCAUUGUCAUCGCAUGAUGCUUAUGUUAAAUGACUGGGAAUAAAGCGAGGAAAGUUAUACGAUAACUCAAAAAGAAGUUAUAGAAAAAGGAUUACAUAGCACUGGCAGUGACUACGUGUUGCAAAAGUUAAACCUGAGUACUUGGGAUAACCAGACAAGGCAUGUUGGUUUUGGUUUGUUUUGAAACAUUAACAAUAUCCUUUGUAAUAUCUUGGUCAUGAUUUGGUUCUCUACUACAAUAGUGAACCAAGAGGGAAAAAACUGUUAUAAAUGCAUAGUAUCAAUGUUAUUUCAUGCUUAACUUCUUUUGGAGACAUUGUCCUAGUCAUUCCACUCCAUCUUUGAGCAAUUUGCAACUCUUUUCAGUAGUCUUAUGGUCUGCAUUGUAAAGGGCAUUUCUGUAAUUCUUUUUUUGAAGAAUGUCUCUUGCAUCCGUUUGAUUGUUUUCUUGCAGCAUUUUCAUCAAUAAUAAAGACUCAUGAGCUUCUUGUGGGGGAAAAUGUUCAUUUCAUUCCACCAUGAAGUAUUCUGUUGUUUUCUAGUCAAGCUCUUAAAGCCUAAGGAGGGAUUAAUAUUUUAAAGAGACAUGAACAAGGAUGCCCAGUAUCCAAACUCCAUUUUAUGACAAUAAGGCAGUGGUUAGAAGCUUAUUUGAAAAUGAUCCUUCCAUUUUUUGAGAAAAGAAAAAGUUCUUAACAUAGCACGAAUCAUGUUCUUGAAGUGAUAUUUGAAUUGUAAAGAUCCAUGUGCCUUGGUUUCCAUAGUAAGAACUGAUAUUUUACAUCCUAAAAGUUAUUGACUCCAUCAUCUCUCUAGUUAAUCUUAAAAUCGAAGAAAUAGUUCUCCAUGAUAGUUUAGAGUGGAUCUCACUCUGAUGAGAGUCAAUUUUGUUCUGAUUAUAAACCUUCCUCCAGAUUAUAAUUAUUGUCUUACUAACACAUAAUAAACAGGUGAAACUUUCCAUGAAUACAUAUUUGAAGAUAAUAUAUAAUGUUUCUGGCUUAUCAUCUGAUCUCUGAACAUAAUCAAUAGGUUUGCUAGUGCAUUGGCUUGAUUGUAGUCUGGCACAACCCAAAUCAAAUCCUUAUUGGAUUGAGACAAUAAUUUUAAUCCAAGCCUAACCUAUUGGGUCAGAAACAUUAUAUAUUAUCUUCAAGCUGAGUUAUCUAAAAUUUUAUGUAUUCAUGGAAAGUUUCACCUGAGUUAUCUAAAAUUUAUUUUGCCAGUCUAUUGGGUUUUCAAGGCUGAAUCAGGUCUAAAACAUCUAAAACACAAACCAUAAGACCUGAUUAUAGCCUAAACAUAUUAUGCAGAAGAAGAGCUGUUAAGCAACAUCUAGGUGUUAGCAACGAGGCAUUUUACACAAGAUUGAUCAACAAAUGCAUAAAGAUCAUCAUCAACUACUCAAGUUAAUGAUUAACUAAAUAAGGGUUAUUUAUCAAAAGUAAAUUACUUUCUUAAAUCCAAGGUGGUUUGUGAAAACAAACACAGUUUUCAGCUUGGAUUAUCUGUAUCCAAGCCUAAUCCAAAUGACUUUGUUUCAGAUUGGACUGGAUCAUUUUUAUACAUAUGAUACUAAAAUUAUACUAAUUUUCAUCUUGAAUUCAACAUUUCUCUUAUGUUGAAGAUUUUGACUUCAGGGUUGCUUUUUUGUUUUUCAUUCUCCUUAUUCCUGGAAUUCAAGAAGAUUUUUCUUCCUAACUAUGGUCAAUAACCUCUCUUGCAGUUGUCAUCUCCAUGUUCUCCGUCCUAUAUAGAUUGAGUUUUAAUUUGUUCUUGUAAUAGUUCCCCUUUUUCCAUACGCAGUGUUGUGUUUUUGAUCAAACUAUAGCAUCAUUCGAUGAUCUCAAAGAACAUCUCCUUGAGUCAGCAGCUGAAACAACUUUCUGAAGUCUAGUGUAGUUUUCUUUACACUGUCACUAUUUCACAUCCUUAGGAAGUAUUGUAUCUUUAUUUCUAAUUCAGGAAGUUGUCCUGGUUUGAGAAGGAGUGCCUGAUGUUGGCUGUAGAGAUAGAAUGAGCAACAGAGGAAGAAGUGGUUCCCACCAAGUAUAUUCAGAAUGAAUGACACAGAGUCAUGGAGGGAAGAUAUGCUAUCGGAAAUGAAAUAAGAAGGGAGAGGAGGAUUGGUUGCCAUCAUGUAUUGUAUAACAAUGAUGUCUAUAACAAUGCUGGGUUUUCCUGCAUAGACUUGAAAGGUCCUGUUGAAAAAUAUUUUGAAGAAGAAUUUAUGAAAAGUGUUGGAGAAGCUGUAAGAUCCUGGAUUCUUUUAUGUUAAUCAAGCCUUCUUGUCUCUGAUUGGUAGAUCAAGAUGUCUUCUGGUGCACUUCUAUUUUCUCAGCAGGAGAACGAGACUGCACAAAUGAGGCAAUUUAGGGUGAUACAUCCAUGUAUGGCAGUAACUGCAAUGAGGUCACGUGUUUGGAGCAUCAGAAUGCAGUUAUUCAGCGACUUAAGGUCCAAUUCCACCAGAAAAUGUUCAAGUAGAUGUGGCUUAGCUUCCAAUUUUGGUAUAUGAAAGUUUUGAUUCUUACCCUUUCUUUGGAUGACAUGUUUUUGCCUGUAAGUGGCCAUAGGAGUUUGAACUGAAUGCCUGGUUAGAAUGGAUCAUCGUUGCCAGCAUUGCGAGCAGGUGAGGGGAAGCAUAUGUUUUAAGAACACUUGAAGUUUCUGAAGCAGGUAUGUCACGCUAUGUAGAAGUUUCCUAUUAGUAAGUGAUGGACUUUAAGAUGUCAUAGGAAGAAGGGGAGCUGUGUAUUUGAGCUUGUUAUAGCAUUUAGAUUGGCUGCGGUCCAUUAAUUGCAGUUUGAGCCAGUAGAAAAGCAACUCAUCCCACUUGACUUGAUCGGGUUGGAAAUAUUUACAGCAGGAGAUGCUAAAGACCAUAUAGGAGCACCUAGGCAUUUUCAUUGGCUUCAUCGAGUACUAUGCCGAAAAGGGACCCUGGCAAUUCAAGGUUUUCACUGAGGCCAUUGAGAGCACAAAUUCUUGAUUUUGAUAAAGACAUUAUCCUCCUAAGAAAGAGAAGAUGCAGCAAUCAAUCAGAUUUCCAGAGGAAACAUCCAAAAAUAAUAUAGCUUUCCCAAGGGCAAGACAGUGGUAAUGGCUCUGCCCAGAAGUUCUAUAACGGCUGUGAGGAUCAUGCCAUGGAUAACGCCAUGAUCAUGAGUUUGAUGCUUUACAGUUUUAAAAAUGCGAUCUUUGAUAUGGCUGUGUUUUCAGGUUGUCGUGAACAAAUAACGUGACCUCGCUUACUACCUUUGAGAGUAUUUAGUUCUCAGAGUUUCACACAACCAUGAUAGAUGCCUGAGUUUUGGUUGGCUUCUGAAUCAAGAAAUAUUCUCAGGAAUCAGAUCGAGGAAUGUGUUGUUCAAUCUACUUGCUGUGACUUUUAAAUGCAAAAAAGAACCCCUCAUAAUAUUUACAUUUAUAGGGUGCUAACAAAGCAGUCCCCAAAAAUAAGGAUUUAAAUGAUUACUGAAAAACAUGAAAUCUUAUUGGAUAGAAUCUAUUCAUACCUAUAAAAAUUGUGGUUCCCGUUAUAUUACAUUAUGUCUUGUAAAUUUUGGUCCAGCAAAAAUUUUAAGAUGAAGUAUAAAGUUUGGAUGACCUUAAAACUUCAAAUAUACAAAAGGCUGGCCUCACUUUAUAUGGAGUGGAUCCAAGUUGUUUAAAAACAAAUCUAGUGAAUAAAUCAUGAAGAUUGCCUCUUUCAUCUUGAAUGGAAUCUUUGUUGGUCUGACUCUAACGCUAGACAAUACGCAACCUUCUAUGGUCUGGAAGGAGCCUUGGGUCACGUUUGAGAUGCACAUAUUGACAUUGAUUGGUCAGCUAACCUUUAAGGUCUUCUAGAGGCCCAACUGAUUUUCUUGCUUCACUGAGUAUAUUACAUGCAUCAACUAGGGGCUACAUCAACCAAAGGAAUCUUUGUGUUGGUGUGACUGAUUGUUCAUCAGCUUCCAUUAUGAGGAAUCUUUGAGUGAUAGUUUUGACUGAUUGCUCGUCAGCUUCCAUUAUGAUGUCUUCCUCAACAAGGUAGUCAGUAUUGGCUCAGGUCUUGCAUCAGUCUUCCAUGACACUGCUAGGAUUUUUUUAUUCCCUUUUUUGAACAUAAAACUUUUUAAACUUUUUCUGAGGGAAGCUGGGUUCCCUGCCUUGCAGACAUUCUGCUCGUUUAGCUUUGAACCUGACCUAAAUGGCAAAGAUGGAGAGACUAGCUAGUUUUGACUAUAUAACACACUUGACUGCAUUGCACGACUACCUUGUUAAGUUUCAUCACCUUCCAAAAUCAAUAUCAUAAGCUUUAGUUGUUGCCCGGCAAAUUAUUAUCCUGCUCGGUGAAUUCCAAUCCAAUCAAGUAAAUGUUGUGCACCCACUGCAUUAUGCCCAUAUCCAACCAGGAUACGCUGAGCAUUGGUAAGUGAAGUGUACUGCUGUUAGUAUAUCCAUUGAAUGAUAAAAAGCUACAGAUGAUUAUUUUGAUUGAUUUCAGUUGGUUAAUUGUUCGCUAAACAAAUUGUGCAAGUCCUUAUAUUGGUGCAUAAGAACAAAUUAAAAUCCAGCAGGACUGGGCUGGAGUUCAGCUGCACAAAUCUCCUGCAUAUAUUGUGCUGCAGUGUUGGAUCCUCUUCCUUUGUCCUGCCUAUGAUUUACUUGAACUCAUUCUUAUGCACCAUGAUGAAGAAAGAACAGGAUGAAGAUAUCAGAGAUGCAUUUUGAGUUCUUGAUUUAAUUUUUACUGUUAGUGUAGACUUGAGAAAUUCUGUUUAAAGGGUGAUUGUGUUGAACUAGUUGCAAUUCUUGUCGAUAGACAAGGUAAUUUCAUAUGAAAUGAGCAAUAGGUGGAUCUGUGAAGAAGUAGCUAGAAAUGAAUACAUCAGCUAAAGAAUAAGAAUAUCAUCGGUAAGGAAUAAAGUGCUGGAGAUCUGAUUGCGAUGUUGUCAUAUACAGCCGGCCGGAUUGCGGGGUGGGAGAAGGAGAGGUACUUUGAAUUCGUAUUAAAGUGCUCAAAAAGAUAAGGGAAGGGAACCCAAGAAAAUCUGCGGGCUGGAUUGAGAUUCUUAGCAAGGAGAUACUGAAAAUCUUCAAUGCAGCAUGUCUGGUCCAACUUGUUAGCAUCUUGCCAUUGCCAAAGAAGAAUCUGCUUGAUUUUUGGUAAGAUGGAUUGAGCUGUUGUUGUCAAUUAGAUAUGGAUUUACAUCAACUCUGCUUAUGUUUGCAUGCAGACAAUUCAACCUCCCUUUUAUUCAAUUCAGUUAUUUCUCUCUCUAUAUCUGGUGUCUAUUGCCAUAGACUUUGUUUAGACAUGAACCUAGUAGGCUACCCCUUUCUCUCUAAUAUUUUUUCCUAAUGGUUCCCUAUUUGCGAAAUAAUUCAAGCGACCGUUUGUAAGAAAGAUUUCACUGACAUUUCUAGAUGAAAUGCCCUGUUUGGAUGGCCCGACAAUUGGCCUCUGUUUGGAUGGGUGUCGGUUAUCCAUGGAUAACCUCGCGCUGCGGUGAAAACAAGUGGCUGCGGGCAUUGGAAGAGAAGAAAGUACAUGGAAGUGGAGAAGAUUGGUCCUUGGUUUUCAGAUAUAAGAUGUCUUGAUAAAACAUUGAUUUAUCUUAUCAUUAGAAGACAGGACAAGUUUGUUUCUACUCGGAAAAACUCUUCCCUUCCAUACCUCCCCUUGCAUGGGUAUCCAAGCAGGCCGGGCCCUAGAUGUCUGAGGUUCCGGUUUGAGUACUUGAAUGCGCGAGUAAACUAAUGAUGGUGCGUAUUAUGUUUCUUGCUAGUAACGUGCUUCCGCAGGAUGGUGGUGCAAGGAGUAUAUAUUAAACAAUCAAAACAUUAAGAUAUCUUUGAUUAACAAAGAUCAUGAUGCUUCUUUCCUUCUCCAUCUUGACUCGCAAAUUUCCACCAUCCCUGCUUUCCUUUGGGGUUUUAGAUACAUUGCUCGUCCUUGCGGCCAGUAGGUGUUCUCAUGAAUUCCAUCUCAAAUCUAUUUUCCUUUUUCUAUUUUGCUGUAAAACGAUCUCCUGCUCCGUUAAGGCGCUUACUUCACACCCGACACUCGCCUGCCAAUCUUCUUGCAUGGAGCAUCACUCCCUGUCGUGGACAAAGUAGGCCCCUGCUGAGGCCUCGUUUGCCCCCGUUUCCCCUAGCCACUGACCGAUGUAUCGGAACCCAUUUGCCUCCCAAAAUGAUAUGUCUAUCGAAAAUCUUUGUAACAUUAUUUAUUAUUGUUGCUGUUAUCAUUACUUCAACUCCUCCCAAGAUUAGCUGGAUCAAACGCAUCUUCAGAUAAAAUCCCUAGAUGAAAUCAAAGGCCAGAAUUUCUUCAAUAAAAAUACCCAAGUUGCUUAGCAGUAAUUGCAAGCAAAUCAUCCUGGAUUAUGAAGGGCAUCUGUCAGGUAUUCAGAUCUAUUAACUACAUAUACACAGGAAAUUUUCAAUCUCAAGGCUUGGCCACCGCGGUACAUGAUUUAGAGACAUUUUAAUUUGCGAAGGAAGGCACAGCUAGCCUUUAAUAUUCCUUUCAUCUAUUGCUAAUGAAGGCUUUCAUGUGCGCCAACAUCUCAUGGGUCCGGGCUUGGGACAUAUGAUGGUUGUGGAGAACUUGGAAGGCAUGCCCCACUCCGGCAUACAUCGCUUGUUCCACACUCUUCCCUGCUCUCCUGAGGGCCUUGCAGAACUCUAGAUUCCUGUCUCUCAAUAUGUCCAUCUCCGAUACGCACACCAGAAGAGGAGGAAGCUUCAAGUCCUCCAGCCUCGGGGCGCCCUUCGCCAAGGGAUUGCACCACGGGUGGUCACGGUUGCAGCCGAAGGGCAGCGCCAACCUCCAAUAACAAUCCGACGUGGUCAAGCCGAGCGCUGAUCUCGAAGAUUGCACCAGGUCCUUCUCCGACGCAGUUCGUGCCUCGCCGCCGAUGAAAGGUUGGAUGAGAAUCACUCCUCUGAGGCAGAUCGGCUUCAGGACGGACUCGGGACCGCCGAGAGAUCCCAGCUGCGCGGCCACGUUGUGCGCUAUGGUCGCGCCGGCGCUGUCGCCGCCAAGAAAAAGUCGAGCGAAGUUGCAGUGCAUCCUCCACCAGCUGAACUCGUCGGAGCCGCCAUAGCUUGCUUGCUGCCUCACCCACCUCGUCGCAGCGAGGCCAUCCUCGUAGGCCGCAGGAAGGCGGUUCUCCGGCGCCAGGCGAUAGUUCACCGACAUGAUGAGGCAGCUGGCUCUCGAGGCCAGGCGAGCCAGGAAUUCGUGGUAGCAGCUCCAUGCAGCAGAGCCGACGCAGAACCCGCCGCCAUGGAAGUACACGAGCAAGGGCAAGCGCCCUUGGGCCUUGGGCACGUAGAACCGAGCCCAGACGCCCGUGGAAUGGCUGAUGACCACGUCCCUGCUGGUAACGCUGGCCUCGGGGGCCCAAGUGCACGGCACGUCGGAGACCGCCGGGAGACGAUCUACGUGACCAUUCUUGUAGACCCUGAUGAGCCCUACAAUCUCCUCAAGUACAGCUCCAUGAUCCUUGCCUGCUUGAUGGUUGAGCCUUGAGUCGCCCAGGGAAAGGACGCCCAUUCUUCUCCUCAUAAAAGAUACUGAUGGAAUUACUCCAAGAAGGGGAUGAUCUUGAUCUAUCUCCCAAUCCAACGCCCUCGGGGGGGCUUAUUUAUAAAGGUGGGGGUCUGACCCAGGGGUCAUGGGAAGCACGAUGAGGAAACGUUCGGAUGCAUCUGAAGUGCUUGGCUCCUCCUAUCCUUUGCUGCCAAGUGUCCGCGAGGCUCUGCCACAUGUGAGCAAGUCCUGCGAUGGAAGGAGGUCCGACACUCCCUUUCAGAAGUCCUGCAAGGCUUAGUCAUCUACCAAUUAAUACCCGCAAGUGGGGGUGGGUGAAGGGCAGAAAACCCCACCAGACGCCGGCCGGCCACUGCCUAAUUGUGUCGAAAUCCGGACACUUCCGCCUUACAAAGUGCAAGAGGAAGCAAUAUUAUUAUUUACUUUAAAGUAUUGGGUUAAUGGCUUGGCAUUGCCGUCUCAUACUUGUCUUUCACGCUUCAACCAAGAUUGUCGAUGCACUUCAGAGUCUUGUCAGCACUGCAAAUGGGCCACAGCUGGAAUGCCGUAUAUAUAUAUAUAUAUAUAUUUGCAACAGGCCAAGUGGCAGCUUCUGAGAUGAAGUCUAGGGUUGAAGGGCAAAAGGUGAUGAGGACCCUGGUUGGGUUUUCUUCGAGGAACCCACCUUGAGCGACACGAGUAUGGUUCCAAUAAUUGUGGGCUGGUCUCCAUGCCUCAUCCUAUCUGAAUUCAGUCGGGACUAUUAAAAAGCAAAUAUUCUCAGGUCAAACCUUGGAUCAUGGAGAGCAUAACAAUGCCAAGUUGCCAAUUUGAGAGACACUGACUACAGGUUGGUCAUCACCGUGGUCAUGUUGUUUGCCUUGUGUUUUCCUUCAGACUGACCUCGUGAGCAGUUCUGUGUGGGCUUGUUUUAUUAGUUUUCAUUGUGAAUUAUCAUGCUUGGCUACUCAAGUGUUGGUUCAUUCAGUAACAACGAUGCCUGAAUAUGGUCAUUCGUCCUCUCAUGAAUUCAUUCUCUCGCAUAAGGAUGGUCUUAUGACGGUGGCAUGAGUUUGUGGAACCAUGCUUACAUCCUUGGCCGUGCAUAGAGAUUGAAUGCCAACUUGGUGUUGUAUGCAUGCAUCCUUGCAUUUCUCAGAGUUGCAGCAACUUUAUUCCGACCGAAUGUGGGCUGAGUGGUUUUGGAUGGAAGUAUUCGACGUUUUCUCCCUUUGUGUAAACAAAUGAUGUUGACCUAGGAGUCAAACAGUGUAUAAAAGUGUUAUUUUGGUUUUGUCGUUUACUCUUUAGUUGCUUCACUUAGAAGCGCGCCAAGACAUCGUUCGUUGAUCAAAAAAUUUCGCGUAGAAUAAAUACCAUACCCUCCUGUAAUUAUUGAGAAUGUAGAGAUGUCUUGUCUACACCUUGGGAGGCUAUAGGACAUGACCAUCCUGUUUAGGAUGUCACCCUUUGUUUUUGCUCUGGCUUUAGAAUGUCACCUAAGUAAAACAACAAAAUAGCUCUUUCAUUAUUCAUUUGAUUAAGAUUAAUAUUAUAAAAUAUUAUGUAGGUUCAAAAAAAAAACAUUAUUUCAUGUAUGCAAUGCAUAAAGGCAAAAUGACAUAAUUGUGGGUGUUAUCAUUGUUUGAUAUCACAGCUAAUAAUGGUCAAUAUAACAACCUUUUUUUGUGUUUGAAGUUUUCUCUUGAUGAUCUUUGUUUAUUUGAAUUCUUUUUCAUGCCUUAGGAGGACUUAAAAUUUCAUAUAGAAUAAAUAUCAAAAGAAAAGUGCACCAAAAGAAUGAAUAAGACAAAGAGAAAGAUAUCAUAGAGAAUCUUUUAUUUAAUUUGAACUCAUGUACUAUUGAUUUAUCUAAUACAAGUAAUUGAGAAAAACAAGAUAAAAUAAGAUGGGUUUAAAGAAGGAAUGAGAUUAGAAAAAGGAGAACACUCAAGCAUUUUUAUACACCAAAAUCAAGAUACACUGUAGAGUAGAUUAAAUCUCCACAUUACAUAAAAAUAUAAGUUCUAAUAUAACAGGUUGAAAUAGCCUAUUUGGUGAAGAGACUGCGAUAAAUCCAUCCUAGUCGUGUGUGAGAACGUGAGAGACCCAUUGAAGUCUUCUUGCUAGCUUUUAUAAAGCAAUAAUUUUUCAUGCUUAGUAAUUCUCUUGAUGCAGUUCUUUGUAUGAUUGACUUCUCAUUCAUCUAAAUAACUUCCUUCGGAAAGUUAAUUCUAGCAAAAAAAAAACCCACUCAUACAUGGUCUUUUAUAUAAGUGACAAGUAGCUAAACUAGUCUUUCCAAUUAUCAUAUAUAAAUUAAUUAACUAAUUAAAUUUUGACCAAUCUAAUAUUUUUGAUCCUUUUCUAUAAUUUAUCUAUAACCAAUUAAUUUUUAAGUGUAAACAGUGGAAAAUAAACAAUAGUUUGAUUAAAAGGGGCUCAUCAGUUGCCUAGGGGCUAUAGGCAGCUACCUUGUCCCCAGGCAGUCACGGUUGAGACCUACUUGAGCCAAUCCAGAGACUCGGACACCCUUUCCCGCGGUAAUAGUUUGUUUAGAACAUCAUAAUAGCCCUUCCUGAAACCAUGGUAAUACUGGAUUGUGUUCCCUUCACAAAUCAUUACUAUAACUUUUCUUUUAAAAAUGGUGAGGAUGACAACCAAUCUUUCUAGGGAUCAAUACAAAGAUUGCUAAACCUAGUGGGUCGGUUGUCUCAGCACAAUAACCCGCGAUAUUUUAUUCCAUCCCAGCUUUCCAGUGUACCUUGCUUUUCACGUGUCUUAGUGGACCGAAACCAGAAACUGGACAUACUGCAAUUGCAUGCAUAUCAUGGCCAAUAAGAACAUCUUGUUAAGAAUAACAAGAAGUCAGACAAGCUUCGAAUUCACCUCACAUCCAAGGAUAGAAGAUGAAAGCCGAAGUAGUAGCAGAUUAAAAUAAGAGACAUGGAGUCGUGUCCUUCCUUUUUACUUCUGACACUAUAAAAAUUGUUCUAUCGGUCGGUACAAGAAAGUUAAACCCGUCGCUCAGCCAAGCAAGCAGCGUAGGUCAGCAUCAGUAGCCUUAGCCUUAGUUGAUUCACAAGAUACGCUCGAUCUCAUGACUUGAAUUGUGCUGAUUGCAUGGCAUCUGUACGAUCGUGCUCACGCCUUUGGGAACCAUAGAUCAUGCUCAGCAUGUCACUUUGAAUUAUAAAGCUAUUCGAAUUUUUUUUCGGAAUGGCCUCCCAGGGGAAUAUGGAAAGAUGGCACCAAACCAACUUAUCUGACGGGCGGUUGGGCCAUUUUUCACACACUCUCUCUCUCUCGUGAGACGACCAAAGAAUUGGGUCAAAAAGAUGACUACGAGAAAGUGGGAAUAUGGAAAGGAUAAAGAUAUCAAUCCGGUACUUAUCAAGAAAAGAUAGCAAUCCUGUCGAUAUAUUCUUGGUAGCAUGUUGACGGAACUACGUCGCUUCUCAACGAAUACAGGAAUCUUAAUUAGUUUGAGAAGCUUUUCUUCGUUCCCUGGCUGCUGUAACACUCCCUAUAAAUUAAUGGAAGAGAAAGCACGCACGCCGUGCCGACUUUGUUCGCUUGUUAGCACGUCCAUUUCCUGCUCGAAAGUUCCAAUGUCACUGCUGAUCUCCCAUUCCUUCGAUUACAAGUGCUUCUGAUCAACCGCGAGACACGUUAGGUGGAAAUAACAGUGGGCUGCUCCAACUUGUCACACCGCAUAAAUCGUAGGCUAUGGUCGAAGUUGCAUCUGGAAUUUAGGAUGGGUCUUGCUUGCUGGAAAACACGAUUCAGAUCAAUAACAAGCAGACCAUUCACCCGAGUUUUUCAUCUCAGGCUGACAUGUAACAAGAAGUUAAAUCGCCUUCAGCUAUGUAUUACCUUAAAAUCUCUGCACGAUGAAGCGCUGCAUGCACACUGCAAAUGGUUACAUGAAAGCAUACAGCACCAGGAUCCAUCCGUAUUCGGUUGUCGAAUGCUGUUCGAGAUCACUGGAAUGACAGCAAGGUGAAACAAUAAGAAAGAGAUCUAAUUUAUUCUCAAAAAAUAGAAAAAGAUUUAAUUGAAGCAUUCCCUUUUUUGCCUUGUUCUCAGUUUCCAAGCAUUGUAAGCAGCAUUGUGUCCUCUAGCAUGUUCUCUUCAUGAACAGAGUCUCAAUCUCGUUGCAUUUGGCAUGACUCGAUAUACGAUACUGUACCAUAAAAAAUCAGAGUCUGAGAAACUAAAUAUGAAAACACAUACGUCGUUUCAGUCCUUUCCAGGCUUCUACCAAACAACACAAAAUGGGCCAGGAUAUUCCAAUGUAACAGAUGAUAUGUUAACUCUGCAAUGGAUGCCAAAAUGUAAAAGCUGCUUAGAGCUGACUUCUGUCCUUUCUUUCCCGUUCAAGCAUGUGAUAUUUUCUUCAUUUCUUCCAAGACAUUGUCACUGGUACUGCCAACAAGAAGGAGAAAAAUAGUCAUAAUUCUUCCAAAGAAAAACGACUGAAGGUUUUUGCAGUAUUUCACAUUUGCAGAGGAGCAGACUUGUAUGGACUACUUAAGGACAUACUGCAUAAACGAGCACACAACCAAGAGGAAACAGCAAGAAGCAUGAGAGGUAAUGUUCGAGAACAGUGCAAGGAUAGUCCAACUCCAGUUCAAUGGAGAAGAGACAUCUGUCAAAUAAGAAAAAACAAUUUGGUCAGAGAAACGAGGGUAUUUAUACAUUUUUAAAAGCAAUAAACUUAAAGAUCAGAAACCCACAUCCUUUAACUAUUAGAUACUGAACAAUGGAAUUCCAAAAUGGAAAUAGAGUAGCUUUGCAUAAAUCUGGGAAGAAAAUGUUUGCAAAAUUUUGGGACCCAUCUCACAAAAACUGAAAAAUCUAUGACUUUAAAAAUGUCUGAUAAACAAAUAAAAGAUAAAUCCAAAAUACUCGGAUGAGUUCUACCGAAAACCUCGUUGACAGAUCUACUAACCAGACAAACAUCCAUGGGAUUUCAAUGCACUUACUAUUUGUGAUCUUCCAUGGAGCUAAUCGUCAUAGACGUCACUGUAAGAUGUCCAAAUAUUUUGGAUUUGUAAAACAAACCUACUGUUUCACAAAUCCAUCUAGGUGGGCAUUCAAAUGCAUAAAACACCAUAUUGCUCAGGCACAUGUGUCACACAUACAACCCCUCAGCACAUUUCAAAACCCUAACUAUAAGCCCCUUCAGCUCCCUUCAAAACCUUAAAUACAUACCUCUUUAUAAAAAUUUCUGUUAUACAUAAUUUUACAGGUUAAAUUUGAGGCAAAUCCUAAUGAAGCAAAACUCACAGUGGCCCAUCUAAAUUGAGAACCCACACAAAUAAUCAUAAUGGACAACAUCUAAAAUUUGCAUAAACCAAAACCAAAUAUCAAUAUAUAGGUGGUUUCUUAUCCAUGGAUCAGCAGACAAAAUGAAGUGGUACUAUUAGUGUUAGGGUAUGAAAAUGCAAGCUGCAAGCUAUACCAUACAAAUCAAGAAUUUAUAAAACUAAUAAUCAUAAACACACAGUCGAAAAAAAUGCAGACCGAAAUUCAGUAGGCUGGGAUAUAGAUGACAUAAAACUGCCUAAUCUUAUUCUAAAUUUAUUCUAUUUAGUGACGUCUUUAUUCAUGGGUAAGAAGGCUCCCUCUCUGUCUCUCUGUGUGUGCAUGUGUCUGUGGUUUCUUCGCAUACCAGAUGCUGAAAAUCAUGAUCAACAUAACAAACUCUAAAUUUUUCACAGCAUCAUUUUCAACAGUAUGAUCUGGAUCUGGACUGUUUAAUCUGUACAGCUCCAAUUAUGGAGUUCAGCUCUGCAGGAAGAUCUCCUGACUCGCCAGACAACCAGGUGUAAAAGAUAAUAAAAGAAAACUUCUUGAUUAGCCUACUAGCAGGUAACUAGUCGAUCUAACUUAUUUAGAAGUACAGCUAGAGAUGCAACCUUGGAUCUGGUUACAGGUACUUCUAAUAUACUAAUACCACAAGUCUCAGCCACCAACUUGCCUUCCAAGCCCCUCAAACAUGUUUGUCAACAAGGAGUCCACUUCCACAUAAAGCUUUGAUUCUUCACACCUUCAUUUAAUAGCUGCUGUAUUAAGCAAGCUUAAGCUUUUGCAUCAAGAGAAUUAAUUCCAUGAUCCAUCAAAGAGUAAAAAAGUUUUCACAAGCACCUCUAACCAUAAUGCCUAGGCCCACAAGACCAGACCUACUUAAAGGACCACAUUAUGUUAAUCUUAAUCCAUUGCCCUUUAAGAGACUUCUAUUUUAAACUUGCUUUUUCUUGCCCAAUAAGGACGGAACAUAGUCCCAGCUCCUCUAAGGUAUUCCUUUCCUCCUAUAGUGCAAUUUGUAGUAUACAUUUAGACUUCCGAAAUCACUAGCUUGCAGCAGAGUGUUUCUCACUGACCAAUUAGUUGAUCCUGUUUGCUCUUUUCAAAGCAUCCAACAAGCCUAUCCCAUGAUUGUUCACUCAUAUUCUUCAACAAGAAUGUUCCUGAAGUCUUUUAUGCUUACAAUUUCAGCAAGCAAGUCUUCCAUCAUCUUCAUAUUUGCUAUCCUUAACCAUCUUGAGAUAAAUCCUAGAUUCCUUGGUGUAUGAGCAUUCCUCUAGGAUAUACCAUAUGCUCUCAGGUGGGGCGUUGCAUCUGGAACAGUGGGCAAUGUAAGAAACUUCCUGUCAUGUAACAGAGUCAUUGUCAAAAAUCUUCCCAACAAGACUACCCAAAGGAGAUUCCAUAGAAUCUUCCUUCUAAAUUCCUUCAUUUGGAGUACUAUCUGGAUCAGCAACAGCAAAAUAAGCUACAGACCGACAUCAUCCUCACAUGUUGGUAUUGCACAUGAAUUUGCCUCAAGUUUAGGUCUUUCAUGAUCAAUUUUCUUCCAUGGUUAGAUAAUGUAUUCCCGUCCAUGAAUUUGUGGAUCUUUUCUCAAUUGCAAAUAUGAGAGCUUUGAAAAUGUAUCUGCUCAAGGCACCAACCAAUAAUUUGCUCCCUACCAACUACAUGGCUUCAGGUUUCUCCCCUGCUGUUCAGCUGUAAAUUUACUAAAAAGGAAAGUAAAGUUCUAAUAUGUUGUGAUAGGUACGCAUCAUGAUACGCUUCAAAGGUAAAGAUUUUUGAAGCAAAGGUAGACUCAAUAUAAAAAAGAUGACAUUUUAAAUGAAACUCUUCCAUAUAAACUUCUUUAGGGAUACAUCCAUCAUAAGAUGGAUUUGAUGAACCCCACCCUCUUAUCCUUCCUCCAAUAAGAAGAAGAGAACCAUAGCAUGGUUUGCCGUACCAGUUGAUACCAAUGCGUAUUGGUACCAAACCAAUACGCGGUAUGAGGGGUGUACUGAGUGUCGGUAUGUGGGCUUGCUUUUCCUGCUAUCCCACUAAGCUUUCUUGUUCCAUGCCUUCUGCCUCUGCGUACCGUUUGAAGAUUUCUUAUCCUUUUAAAUGCCUUUGCUGGAGCAAUCCUUAGUGUCAGAAGCAAAGAGUCAACGAAGAGCACUUCUCCUUGCAGAUCGGACAAAUUCAACAAACAAUCUUUAUUUGUUGCUCCCAGUUAUGGGGAAUUAUUUGUUCAAAAUUCCAAUGCAUAUUACAAAAAUCUUUUGUUGAUUAUCUGACCUCUGUACCGAACGUACCGACAUAGUAACAAGAUGGUACCGGUACGGGCUCCAGUACCGAAAUGGUGAAUUUGAAACCAUAAAUAGAUCAACCUACCAUUAACACGCAAGCAACUUAGAUUCUUAUAUGAGAAACAAGCCAAAAGGAGAAAAGAUUAAGCUUGCUAUAGCUUAAACUAGUGUAAGCAAACAUGUAACGGCAAAAGCACAAUCAUAGGACACAUUGUAUCGACAAAAUGAUAUUUACAAAAGGACCAUCCGACAUGUAAAACAACCGAGGAAGCCUUAUCAAUGACAAAAAUUCAAUUUUGCUCCUCCACGGCAUGCAUAUUAAGAUAUACACAUAUAUAACAAUAUGAAAUCAACCAAAAUUAGUAUCCAGGAGCCAACUCAUAUGAAAGUGAAUUCUGGUCUUAUAGACUUAAACCAUAUGAACUUACUAUUGAUGAAGGCAUUCAUUUAGCUCGUUUGCUUGUUUACAACAAUACCAAACUACUGAUAUAGUUCUUCCCACAGCACAUUCAGCAUACUUUGCAGAGCAAUGGUCGCAUUCUUUGUGCUUUUUGCUUCAUUUUGCUGCCUAAAGCUGGAAAUAUCACAUCAGUCAACGGCCACAAAAAUGAUUUGCAAUCAACUACUAAGUUGACACUAUAGCUAACUUGUAUCUUCUCUUGCAUUACCGCAAACAAUAACAGGACUUUUAACAGACUAAGUUGCAUUCCUUUUCACAUCCCAAUGGAAAUGUAAAAUCUAUUGUAUAUUCUAUGCAUUUUCUUUUACCAAAAGACAACUGCUUUUAGCUGUUUCACCAUGACCACAAGAUGGUAUAGUUGAUCAUUUGAUGCAUUAGCAGCAUGGCUAGGAUGAGCUAAAUUUAGACAUACAACAAUCACUCAAAGAUAAAUGAUCUUUCUCUUUACGAUAUUACAAUUUCUUAGCUUCGUACCUGCUAAUGAUAAUUUACAUUCUACACUAUCUGAGCGAUCAUUAGUCACAAGUGCAAAGUAAUUUUGGGUCAAGUUGAGUUAGCUAAAUGGGAUAAGUAGACUAUCUUCUUCAUGUUCUUCUUUUUUAAUAUGUCACCUAAACCGUUUUAUAUUAAACAUAUUAUCACAUGGGAUUUCAUUACUAUUUUUUCCUUUUUUUUCUUGUUUCAUGGGAGUUUGGCAUUGGUUUGAGUCGGGUGAAGGUAAAGCAUGGUGUGUCAGGUAAGGCAGAUCAUACCAAGAUUGGCCAAAUUGAAUAAGGGCGUAAGAUCAAGAAGGGUUAGGCAGGUCAGAUCAUGCCAGUUUAUGUCAAGCAGGCUACUGGGGGUUCAACUAGAGGGUGGGUUAGGAUUGUGCAACUUGAUUUAAUGUCAAGUCAGGUUGGAUAAGAGUCAAGCUUUUGUAUUUUAUCAUUUCAAUUAGACCCAGCUAAGCUAAGCUCCACCCAACCCAUUGGCCCUGCUAGGGUUGAUGUACAGAGGAUAGAGGGGCAUAUGGAAAUUAUGAAUGUGAAGUACCUGACAUGAAGCCCAUAUUAGAAGAUAUAAACUGAAGGUGUAAAUGUGAUAAGAGACAAAAAGAUAGAAAGGACUAGGAUGAUGACCAAUCAUAGGGGAAGCAAAAUAGUAAGGGAAGGAGGUCACCAGAUCAAGGAAUCCACCACUAAGCAGGGUUUUCGUGCAGUAUUUUGCACCUCAUAGAUAAAGGAUGAAACUGGAGAUGCCCCAACCAACCAACCAAAUACUACAAAUAUAAGAAAACAGCAAAGAAUGAGAAGGAAUCAUAGAGGCAUGCAGCAGCCUCUGAACUCAGCCAAUCUAAAUCAAACUCUUGUUUUUCCGACUAGGAGCCUUCUUUUAUAUGCCUCUAGUUUUCUUGUGGUGUUGUUAGGAAAGGUAAGCUAAGAGUAGAUGUGAUAUGAGGGAGACUAAGAGAGGAGAAAGAAGAGAGAAGUUCGGAUAUAGCAUUAUGACAAAUGAAAUGGUCCUAAAAACCCAAUCCAUUAACUAUUCCUAAUAAAAGAUUAUCAAUAAGGCUCUCAAAUAAAUGUGGUGGGCAGCAUCCCUUCCAACCUUUCAAAUAAGGCAAUAUGGCAUUAAGGGUGCAUGUACUUAUAAAUGCACCAACGAAAUUGCCACAAUUUCUAUUUAACAGCACAAAUGCUUUAUUCCCCCAACUCUACUGUUUGUUAGUUUUGACUUUUCAUACAAAUCAUGCUGUCGCCUGGUACAAACUCUUCUUCUUUCACAUUGUUGUGGAGAAACCAAGCUGAAGUAGCUUCUUAUAAACACUCCCCAGGACCGUCAACGGACAUGAAAUCAAUUAAUCCCCUCGAAGCAUGCACUAGGUUAAUAAAAACCCAACCCCAAUAAAGGGUUAAAAGCUAACCUACCGUCCUGCCCAUUCACUUUUGUUUGCCUUAGAGGGUUAUGUCUCCCAAUGCUCGGUGUACUCUCCUCAUUGUCAACAAUGAUCAAACCGUGAGCUUCUAGUGACCAUUUUGUUUUAUCCAAGUGCUAAAACUCCUUGCAUUCUACAAUUUGAAACCAAAUUUACGAAUUCAAUAACAUCAUAAAAUCAGUAGGCAUACAUAACAAGAAAGAAACGAGGAUUAAAAAAUCUCCGCAACCAGUGCCAUAGAUCUCAACUAUCGGGAACACCAACAAAUUUGACUCGUUGACCUGUAAGCAGCAAAACCAUCAUAUCCUAAGCAUCUGAAGUUCAUAAAUCCAUACUGAGAAACUCUAAGAGAUUCGGUUUUUUUAUUAUUAUUACCUACCCAUAAGAGAAGGAAAAGAAAAAUCACAGAAAAAUAUGAUCAGUCAGGCUUGCAAUUGCAAGAACUUAGACAAAUGCAGUUCACCGAAUUUCUUUCCCUCCUUCCAUUGUAAAAGCAGGUACUAGUUACAGGAUCAAAAAAAAAUAGGAAUAUUGGAAGAGAAGUUCAGCGGGAUUGCUCUUCCUCCCAAAUUCCAGAUCCCAUCAUUUUAAAGAAAACUAAAAUUGGAAGUGGAGGGUUUUGGAAGCGAGAGCGGGAGAGUGGGGUGAGCUCCAUUACCUUCUUCCACCUUCUUCUUGACAUGGUUUUCUCUUGCCUCCCGGAUGUAUCCCAUCGAGGGCGAAGACAAGCCGAGCACUCAAGCGGGGAAGAAGGACGCGACGGCGUUCAUCGGAGCCGACCGAGGCCGUUCUCCGGGUGUCUUUUUUAACUCGUAAAAAGACUAGCGGGGUUGAGCCAGGCUUGUAUGAUGUGCGUGUAAGGCCCAAUUACAGCCCAAUUUGUUAUGUGUCAGUUAAUGAAAAGCCUCGUGCACGGUGACUCGUGGGCUGGAACACGGGCCUUCCUCCCCUGAUUGUUAUGAGAGACCGGUGCGUAAAGCAUGAGUCCUGUUUAAUAGAUUCGGAUGGAUCGUUGAAGAUAUUGAAGUAGGAAUGGUGUGAGGACCCAUGCGGGCAUGUGCUUAGUUCCAUAUCGAUUAUUCGCUGGUUAGAUCUUAGGUACUUAUAUAGAAUCAAAAAAUCCAAAUAAUAUUUUUCGGCUAGCCAUUUUGAAUGAGGUCCUAAAUUGUUAUAAAAUGGUACCAGAGCCAUUGUAAUCCGGCCCAUAAUCUAUAUGGACUAGGGAACAUUGUAAUACGGAUCCAUUGGGGUGAACCACGAGCCGAUCGUGGUAUUUGUGAUUAUAUUUAAAUAUAUUUGAACUCAUACCCUGACGAGGACGUCGGAACUUGAACGGGAUAAGUAUGUGAGGCCCCGUGCGGGCGUGUGUUUAGUUCCACAUCGGUAUUCACUGGAUAGAUCUUGGGUACUUAUACAGGAUCAAGAAACCCAAAUAAUACCUUCCGACUAGACAUUUUAGUUGGGAUCCUAAGUUGCUACAAAUGGUAAUGGAUGGUAUGGAUCAUAUAAAACCUACAUACCCCAUAGUAAAUUGCCACUCGUAUAUUGAAGAGUGAAGAGAUAUAGUCUAACACAGGAGCACAGUAGCAGGGUGCAUGAAACUUUAUAACACAAUCCACAUCGAUUGGAUUUCGGCAUUGCUGUCCACCGUUAGACAGUGGAAGAGGACCACGUAAAUUAAUUUUGCCUUGACAUUUGAAAUGCGGGCCUAGUAAUAAUGGUCUCCAUAAAAUCUGUGGAAAAUUGGGGAUGGCGUGUGGGUGUCGACAGAUUUUAGGCUCAUAAUGUAUUUGCUGUUGGAAGAACUGCAUGUUACUUCGUGAGGCUGGGAAUGAUCCCUCAAUUGACCAGCUGUACUGAAGAAUCCUUAUGUGCAAACUACAAAGUCGAGGUCGCCCUUUUAGUCAAGAUUAAGGCGAGUCUUCGUAACGGCGAGAAUGACUGCUCUUAUUAUGACAGUUUAAAAGGCCUUCAAGGCAUAUAUGCAAGAUGGACGUGAAAAAAACUAUCAUUAUCUAGUCAUAAUUCGGCAGCAAUGACAGUGAAAUAAGAGGAAUCAAGGCUGUUAUUCAACAAUUUUUUAUAGUUUAUAAUGAUAUAUAUUUUUUCAAUUCAGAACUAAUUUUCAAUUCAAAAAUAAUAUUUUAAUUUGUUGAUAUAUACAUAAUAGAAUUGUUCAACACGAAUGUUGUCUAUGCAUUAUUUUCUAUGAUGACUUUUGCGUUAUGAGCGAUGCUACAGCAUGCUGGUGAACUAUUUUUAAGUUCUACAUGAUAGUUAAGGAUUGAUGCAGUAACAUGGUCAGCGCAGGAGAUUUUUUCAAUUGAAUUAAGAAGCAAUAUAUAUACCAAUCUUUCUUUAGGAGAAGGAUUUUUUCCGUGAUUUUUCAGUAUUUAAUAACAUAUUUUUAUUCUGAAACAUGUAAUUCUUUAAAAUGGAAUUUUAAGCUUGAAUCCGACAAAUAUAGAUAUAGAAAUGUUAUAAUAAUAGACAAUAGUCUCAAACGUUUUAGUGCAAAAAGGAGUCCAUUAAUUAUUGUUUUUGGUUUUAUAAUACUAAUAUAGCACCAAAAACAUGAAAAAUAUUAUAGGCUAUAAUGCUAUAUUUAACAGUUAUUUUUAAAAAAAUAUAUAUAUUUCAAAAUUCUUUUUAAUAUUAUAUUAUAUCAUAUUAUACGGUUGCUACAGUAUAAUCCCAUAUAGAGGCUCGUAUUCAAGAAUGGCAUUUCACAAGUCUUUUAAGAUUCUAGAAUGAUUGUACGGGCGAUUCCUAAUAAUCUGAUUGAGAGAAGGAGGCGUGAGAAUAUGAAAUGGGUAGGGACGGAUUUGACCCAUAACGCCGUGAUUUGGGAUUACGUCCUUUCUUUCGUUUUCUAGGCAACGUGAACGAGACGGGACUGCGAUAAAUGACUACGCUCACGAGCAACUUCCUCGAAAGUGGAGACUGGAGACAAAUCCUAGCAGUCAAAUUCCCACCCAAAAGUUGAUGCCUUCGGCUCGCUCUACCCCGGGAAAACAUAAAGAAAGAAUCGUCACAACCUUUUCCUUCCCC
rnacentral:lncRNA from 1 species